ACAGCAUGUACGUGAUAGGUGACGUAUAUAACAGCAUGUACGUGAUAGGUGACGUAUAUAACAGCAUGUACGUGAUAGGUGACGUAUAUAACAGCAUGUACGUGAUAGGUGACGUAUAUAACAGCAUGUACGUGAUAGGUGACGUAUAUAACAGCAUGUACGUGAUAGGCGACUUAUAGGAUGAUGUAUAUAACAGCAUGUACGUGAUAGGUGACGUAUAUACCAGCAUGUACGUGAUAGGUGACGUAUAUUACAGCAUGUACGUGAUAGGUGACUUAUAGGAUGAUGUAUAUAACAGCAUGUACGUGAUAGGUGACGUAUAUAACAGCAUGUACAUGAUAGGUGACGUAUAUUACAGCAUGUACGUGAUAGGUGACUUAUAGGUGACGUAUAUUACAGCAUGUACGUGAUAGGUGACUUAUAUUACAGCAUGUACGUGAUAGGUGACUUAUAGGAUGACGUAUAUUACAGCAUGUACGUGAUAGGUGACUUAUAGGAUGACGUAUAUUACAGCAUGUACGUGAUAGGUGACUUAUAGGAUGACGUAUAUUACAGCAUGUACGUGAUAGGUGACGUAUAUAACAGCAUGUACGUGAUAGGUGACUUAUAGGUGACGUAUAUAACAGCAUGUACGUGAUAGGUGACUUAUAGGUGGCGUAUAUAACAGCAUGUACGUGAUAGGUGACUUAUAGGAUGACGUAUAUUACAGCAUGUACGUGAUAGGUGACUUAUAGGAUGACGUAUAUUACAGCAUGUACGUGAUAGGUGACUUAUAGGAUGACG